rnacentral:rRNA from 1 species
UGGGGAAUAUUGGACAAUGGGCGAAAGCCUGAUCCAGCAAUUGCCGCGUGAGUGAUGAAGGCCUUAGGGUUGUAAAGCUCUUUUACCAGGGAUGAUAAUGACAGUACCUGGAGAAUAAGCUCCGGCUAACUCCGUGCCAGCAGCCGCGGUAAUACGGAGGGAGCUAGCGUUGUUCGGAAUUACUGGGCGUAAAGAGUACGUAGGCGGUGAUUCAAGUCAGAGGUGAAAGCCUGGAGCUCAACUCCAGAACUGCCUUUGAAACUAGAUCGCUAGAAUUGUGGAGAGGUUAGUGGAAUUCCGAGUGUAGAGGUGAAAUUCGUAGAUAUUCGGAAGAACACCAGUGGCGAAGGCGACUAACUGGACACAUAUUGACGCUGAGGUACGAAAGCGUGGGGAGCAAACAUGGAUUAGAUACCC